AUGAUAAGAAUGAAAAGGCAAACAGGAAUCGACGAAAAGAGAAAUCUCAAUUCCGAUUCCUCAUUGUUCUUAUUAUUGUUCUAUCUGUGGUAUUGUUCUAUUUGAGUUCCACAAAAAAUAUCUCCUGGGGAAGUAAGGCUAGUACUAUUCAAAAAAAGAUGGAACAUGG
rnacentral:ribozyme from 17 species